GGAGCUGGACGUUUCCUUCAUCUGGAACAGCGCUCAGUACCUUUUCCUCUGCUGCCCAACGAGCCGGCCGAAGGCGCAGGCCGAGGGGUCGAGCUGGCCCGAGAGCCUGCGGAUGUGUGUGCAUCCUGCCGGAAGCAGCAGGGCUGAGCAGGAAGUUGCAAUUACAAGAGGGCAGGGCUUCUGCAGAAGCUGAGCGGUGCUGGCUCAGAGCAGCCAGGGCUUAUCCAAGGAAGGUAUGUGCGGGGGCUCCCGGGACCAGGAAUCGAACCGGCGCCACAGCAGUGAGCCGAGCCACUGCAGCAAUAAUGCCAGAUCCUUAACCCUCAGCACCACAAGGGAACUCCUCGACUGCUUCUUAACUUUUCAAGAUAAUUAUCAUUUGGGAUGAAGUUUCUUACUCUUGAAUCAGAGCCAAGGGACCUUUUUUUUUUUUUUUUUUUCAGUUCCUCCUCCCUGACCAGCUCCUCCUUGUUCACUUCCUCCAGAACCCCUCCACGCAGCCUCCACGCACCUCUCUGAAGAGUGACCCAUACCUCGUCACCCACUGGCUUCAAGAUCGCCACUGACCCCCCGCCUUUUCCUGCAAGGAGCACCGCAGCCCGCAGGGUCAGCUCCAUCCUCCGGAGUCCUCCGGAUGCAGCCCGGCCUGAAGUCCUUCCUGAACACCUGUCGUCAGCAUGACAGUGGAAUCUCUCAUAAUCAGCUUCAACUGGUUCCAAGCCAGGGGACCCCCGGGCACUGGCCCAGGAUGGUUGGAGUUCACGCCGGCUUAUGCUGCUGUUCUUGCUGGUGAAUGGUGUCCCCCGCUUCUCUCACAAAUGUCCUGCUUUGGAAAAUAAGUCAUAUGG
rnacentral:lncRNA from 1 species